rnacentral:misc_RNA from 1 species
UCUUGCUGAUAUACCUUAUGGUUCAAAAUCAGAUAUUUGGUCAUUGGGAUGCUGUAUAUACGAAAUGACUGCUCUGAAGCCUGCAUUUAAAGCUUUUGUAAGUUUCAUGGACCCUGAUUAAAUACCUUGUAGAUCUAAGAUGUAUUUUCUCAUUACGCUUUUUAAUGCAUGUAUGAACAUUGAACUACUGCUCCAAGUAAUAGCAAGCAUCAUCAUUAAGUUGAUUCUCACCAACAGUCAUGUAAUAUUUUUGCACGUAAUUACUCUAAUUUUUUAACCUAAAGUUUGGUGAGCAUUCACUUUAAUGAUUCAAUGGUGGUCCGAUAGUUGCCAGGGUAAAAUAGACAAACCAAUCCCCUGUGGUGUAGUUUCUCUGCACCCACCACCUUGUGGCCUUGAGAUUUUUGCUGUUAUGUUUUCUAUAGUGAACUUCUUAGAAAAAAUGCUUGGAUUCUUUUACAAAAUAGUUUAAAAUUAAGGCAAUUUGAUUUAGUGCUCGUUAAGACUUUUUGAGCAAAUUUACUCUGCUUUUCUGAAAUCCUGAGAAGUAAUUUUAUUUCUGGAUUUUAAAUCUACAAUUUCUGUUAACUUUGGAAAAAAUGUAAUGGACCAAGCUAUAAAAGAACAAGUUAACCUGUCCUCAUCAAUAAAGCACACUGCCAUUUUUUUGCCCAUUUUGCCAGAUUCAACAUGCCGGCUUUGUUUUUGGUGCUGCAAAUGCUCUUGAAUCCAACUUGAUUUGAGCUGUCCCUGCUUCUUAUUGCUCUGAUUUUAUUAUACAAUCAGUAACUCGUUAAAAUUGUGCCAUAAUUGAGUUUAGUUAAGUAUCAUUUUUUAAUUAAUUACUUGUCACAUUAAUCAUACUAGGGGCAAUGCUGCCAUCAGACUAGUAACUUAGUGGUUGAACGCCUAUUCCAUAAUGCAAAAGUAAGAGGUUCAAAUCCUAGCAACCCUUCCCCUUUAAAAAUUUUCCGCAUGCCAAAAGAGGGGGAAAAAAAAGAAAAGAAAAAAGAGUAAUGCUUGACUGAUCAUUUGACCACAUGAAUGGUCAAUAGGUAUUCACAGAGCUUUCAAGUUGACUUAAAUUAGGAGUGGGAGAUUCAAGCUAGAAUUAUCAUAUCACUGCUGAUUAUGCCUGUUAUCUCCACAGUGGACAAUACAAGUUCCACCACACUAAUUAUUUGAGUCUGUUAUUUGCUCGACAUGGUGAAUGAUAGGAGGCUUUCCUGCACAUCUCCAUUUGUUUUUGAGCCAUCUGACUGUUUUAAAUUUCCUUUUGUUUCUAAUUCUGGGUCUGCUUUAUUGUAUUUAAAUUAUUUUAAUUUGUCCUUUGAGCAGGAUAUGCAAGCUCUGAUUAACAAGAUAAAUAAAUCAAUAGUUGCUCCACUUCCAACUAAAUAUUCUGGUGCUUUGUAUGUUCUGUAUCCCUUCAUUUAAUAACUGCUGUAGCAGUUCAUUUUUAUAAAUGAUGGAUUUUUAGUGAAUGUUGUUAGUCUAAUCCUGUUAUGCUCCAGCCGAGGCCUUGUCAAAAGCAUGCUGCGGAAGAACCCAGAGCUUAGGCCAAGUGUAUGUGUAAUCUCCUCUGAUCUCUUCUUGUGUGAUAUAUGAAAAUCCUUAAGGGCGAUUUCAUAAUUUUAGGCUGGCAUAAAGAUGACGCAAAAUUUCACUUUAUUGGUUAUGCAACAAAAUAUUACCUGACCCACACAAAUGUGUUAGCCUCUACAGUCUGCUUUGCUCUACUAAGUAACAUAUAAAAGGAAAUAAGUUAUCUUUCUUGCUAAUUGCAAAUGCUUUCAGAAAUGAAAACAAACCUUAGCCAGAUUUACUACCAGUAAAUCUGCUAUAAAUUUUUUGGGUUAUGUUUUGGCAUGCUGUUACUGAUAAAUUAACCAUUGCCAUAGAAAUUUGAGUGCAUGUCUGUAUACAUGCUUGCGUGUAUUUAUGAGUUUGUGCUAGCAAAUUAAUGUGUUUUCUUCUAUUUGAAUAUCCAUUGAGGUAGGCUGCAGAGCUUCUCAGGCACCCAUAUCUUGAACCUUAUGUUCUCAAAGUUCAUCUCAAGAUUAAUAGCCCUAGACACAACGCAUUACCUUUCCAGUGGCCUGAAUCCAAUUACAUAAAGAAAACACGAUUUGCAGAUCCAGAAGAUCUUCCUCUUAAAUCUGACAGGAAGAAGCGACAUUCAUUCAGCAACAACAGGGCAUUAAACCCAAAUAUAUCUGCAGUAGAGCAAGACCUUGUGUGUUCUAUGAAAGGAAUACAUCGUAGGCUAUCAGAAUUAUCCAUUGGCAGCAGCAAUGAAGGAACAGUUAUUUGUAAACCAAUCACUGCUUCAAAACCUUCAAAUAUUGCCAAGACUUCUAAACUUGCUCCCACAAAAGCUUCUGUAACAACUAGGCGACGAACUGAGCCUGUGAAAAAACGUGAAUCUGUAAGAUAAUUGGAGUUCCUCUCUCUCAAACACACACUACAAAUCUCACAUGCUUGCACUCGCACACCUGCAUGGACACUGAGCUUCUAGAUUGCAACUUUACCUAGUACUGCAAACUGGGAUCUCACGUGUUGUUUUCUGCAUUUCAGCUUCCUAUUGUGCGCACUCCAACAAAAAAAUCAGUCCCUACAAAUCGCAGAACAUCUUUCCCUUUGCCAACGAAACCUACAAAUAUUGGAAUCCUUCAUAAUAUAAAAUCUCCAGAUGUCUCUGUCAAUGCUCCUCGAAUUGACAAGAUAGCUGAAUUCCCAUUAGCUUCAUAUGAAGAGACAUUCUUUCCUAUCAGGAGAACUUCGUCAACUUCAGCUCAAGCAUCAUGUGGCACCCCACAUCAUGGUGACCGCUCAAUCACAAAGGACAAAUGCACAGUUCAGGUUGACAGAGUCUCUGCCAAGCCCAACUUUACUGAUGCAUGGCAAGGAAUAAAACAUGGCAUGUUUCAGGUAGAGGAAGAGGAAGGAAGCAAUUCAUCUAAUCAAAAUGCAACAGCAGGUGCAUCGAGCCAUACGUCAUCGGACACAAGGCGCCAUAGGUUUGACACUUCAUCAUUCCAGCAACGUGCUGAAGCUCUGGAAGGGCUGCUUGAAUUUAGCGCAAGAUUACUGCAAGAGGAAAGGUAUGAAGAGCUUGGCGUGCUACUAAAGCCUUUUGGGCCUGGAAAGGCUUCCCCCAGGGAAACUGCUAUAUGGUUGACAAAAAGCUUCAAGGAGAAUACUCUCAAACCUGAAGAUUUAUAGCAACUGAUUCACUGUGUACCAUAUUAGUAGUUGUGACAGUUUUAGAGCUCGAUCUAUCAGCUUUUCAUAAAUGAUCUAAGGAGAGUCUCUAGAUACUUGGGCAGAUGCUUUUUAGGUUGUAAAUUUCAAUGUCCCUCUUCUUAUUCAGGAAUUGAUAGAUCAUGGAAAAAUUUGCGGUUAUUUAUCUUUGAAUUUUUUUUUUAAAUUUGAAAAGGAAUAAAUGCAAUCAGCGUUUAAACCUUGAUAUCUUGUAAUACGACAUAGACACUUGGCAAUCGGCUUAUCAUUCAAUCUAUGUGGAUUUAAUUUA